rnacentral:lncRNA from 1 species
UAUAUUUUUAAUAGAUCCUUGCUGCUUUGUUGAUAAAGAAUUUUAACUUUGAUUACCUUGAGGCUGUAAAAUGCACUGUUACACAACAAUUACCUAAUUAAAUUUAAUUUAAUAAUAACAAAAUAAAAUCUGUCAAUACUGCAUAGCAGGGCUGUUUAGCUGCAGCAAUUUAAUUUUGCUCUUUUAAGAAGCAUCUAUGGUGACAAGAGGGCACUGUUAUGAUCAUGGCUACCGCUGUGAGGUAUCAGCAUGUGUCUUGCCAGCGCGCGUCAAACGGCAUGAAGGGGGUCCAAACGUUAAGGGCGACUGGGCGAGGGGUCCAAGGGAGUCCAAACAGAGUGUCCAAGCGCUCAGGGAGUGUAUGGACCGGGGGUCCAACUACUCGCGAGCGCUUGGACCCCCGGUCCAAAUAGAAGGGGGGUCCAACCACCCUCCAACACCGGCAUAGACUACGUAUAGUCGCUAUUAACUAUCUAUGGUUCCGGUUACACUUUUUCGAGCACUUUUUGGACAAGACAAAGAGAAGAUAUUGUUUUCUGGCGGUCUGCAACAGUUUGCUCUGGUGUCUUAAGAGGAAGAGGACAAAUUGUGACUUAGCAAUAAAUUAAAAAUCAAGAAUCAAACUGCAUUGAUGAACAUAGCAGACGUUGCACGUGUGUAUUGGAAUUUUUGUGUACUUGUAUUUUGAAAAAAUAGAUUGUGUAUU